CACGGUUGCUAGGCAACUCAGAGGCGAGCGUUUGGUUUGCCUGUUAAAGCAGCUACACUAUACGAGUACAAACAAAGGUAAAGACCACAAUGGCAAGCCAGAGACCCGUGAGCCGUGGUUUUUUUGGACCGGUUUCUGGACGACCGCCUACAGCCCUCCGACCCCCGCAGACAGCCGUCAGAGUCAGCACCGUGAUGAUCCCGGGCUCCACUCGUCCAGGCAGCAGAGCUGGAACCGUGGCUUCUCCUGGUGUUUUAUCGGCUCAGAUUAAAGUCGCUGAUCGGCCGGUGACUCAGCAGGGUCUCAGCGGAAUGAAGAUGGCCAUGAAGGAGACAAAUCCUGGAUAAGUCAUAUUACCUUGGGUUAUUACGGAGUAAAAUAAGUGAGCUAACGAUGGAGUCCAGCAAACUACAGAAGGACAUUGACACCUUCAGUCAGGAGAAUUCAGUGUAUCUUUCUUAUGAAAAAAGAGCAGAAGUCCUAGCUGGAGAAAUCAAAGAUCUUCAGGUUCAA